UCCCAUAUAGUGUAGUGGUUUAGCAUUCCAGAUUUUCAGGAAACAUCAAAACUCCACAUUUCUGGCGACCCGGGUUCGAACCCCGGUAUGGGAA